rnacentral:rRNA from 1 species
AUUGAACGCUGGCGGCAUGCCUUACACAUGCAAGUCGAACGGUAACGGGCCUUCGGGUGCCGACGAGUGGCGAACGGGUGAGUAAUACAUCGGAACGUGCCCGAUCGUGGGGGAUAACGAGGCGAAAGCUUUGCUAAUACCGCAUACGAUCUACGGAUGAAAGCAGGGGACCGCAAGGCCUUGCGCGGACGGAGCGGCCGAUGGCAGAUUAGGUAGUUGGUGGGAUAAAAGCUUACCAAGCCGACGAUCUGUAGCUGGUCUGAGAGGAUGAUCAGCCACACUGGGACUGAGACACGGCCCAGACUCCUACGGGAGGCAGCAGUGGGGAAUUUUGGACAAUGGGCGCAAGCCUGAUCCAGCCAUGCCGCGUGCAGGAUGAAGGCCUUCGGGUUGUAAACUGCUUUUGUACGGAACGAAAAGCCUUCUUUUAAUACAGGAGGGUCAUGACGGUACCGUAAGAAUAAGCACCGGCUAACUGCGU